rnacentral:rRNA from 1 species
UACGUAGGCAGCGAGUGUUGUUCGGAGUUACUGGGCGUAAAGAGUGCGUAGGCGGUUUUCUAAGUUUGGUGUGAAAUCUCCCGGCUCAACUGGGAGGGUGCGCCGAAGACUGGAAGGCUUGAGUAUGGGAGAGGUAAGCGGAAUUCCUGGUGUAGCGGUGAAAUGCGUAGAUAUCAGGAGGAACACCUGCGGUGUAGACGGCUUACUGGACUAUAACUGACGCUGAGGCACGAAAGCGUGGGUAGCAAACAGG